GGGAACUGAAACAUCUAAGUACCCCGAGGAAGAGAAAUCAACCGAGAUUCCGAAAGUAGCGGCGAGCGAAAUUGGAUUAGCCCUUAAGCUUUUAAUGAGACAGACGAAGGCUCUGGAAAGUGCCGCAGUAAAGGGUGAUAGCCCCGUAGUCGACAUCUCAUAAUCAGUGAAAACGAGUAGGGCGGGACACGUGAUAUCCUGUCUGAAUAUGGGGGGACCAUCCUCCAAGGCUAAAUACUACUGACUGACCGAUAG
rnacentral:rRNA from 1 species